rnacentral:rRNA from 1 species
ACGAACGCUGGCGGCGUGCUUAACACAUGCAAGUCGAACGGUGAAGCGAGUGCUUGCACUCGUGGAUCAGUGGCGAACGGGAGAGUAACACGUGAGUAACCUGCCCAUCACUCUGGGAUAAGCACUGGAAACGGUGUCUAAUACUGGAUACGACCAACCCUUGCAUGGGGUGUUGGUGGAAAGAUUUAUCGGUGAUGGAUGGACUCGCGGCCUAUCAGCUUGUUGGCGGGGUAAUGGCCCACCAAGGCGACGACGGGUAGCCGGCCUGAGAGGGUGACCGGCCACACUGGGACUGAGACACGGCCCAGACUCCUACGGGAGGCAGCAGUGGGGAAUAUUGCACAAUGGGCGAAAGCCUGAUGCAGCGACGCCGCGUGAGGGAUGACGGCCUUCGGGUUGUAAACCUCUUUCAGCAGGGAAGAAGCGAAAGUGACGGUACCUGCAGAAGAAGCACCGGCUAACUACGUG